CGUGGAUCCACAGAAGAUACGCUUCAUACAUCUAACAUUAGGCUACACACCAACUGACUCUCUUCUGGGAAAGUGGAACAUGCGCGGAGGACGUGGACAGCAGACCCUUUCUACAUAACCGAACAGGAUACAAGGAGGUCAUUUCAAACGGGAAGACACCCUUUGAAGUGCUUCAGGAGCUUGGAGUGCCAGAGGAGGAGAAGAAGAAAGAUGCUGAAAUGACAAGUCCAGCACCUGUGUCAGAUGCCUCCGAAAUAGGUGCAACAGAACAAGCCAGGUAGAGAUAUCAAAGCAGACAAUUGCAAGACAGAAGCUGAUAUGUGCUCUGGCAAAAUGUAAUUGCCUUCGAAACGAAGACGUAGCCCAUUAAUAAUAUCCAUUCCAAGCAGAACUGUGCCAGAUUCAACUACAAAGAACGAC